GACGAACGCUGGCGGCGUGCUUAACACAUGCAAGUCGAACGGAAAGGCCCUUCGGGGUCCUCGAGUGGCGAACGGGUGAGUAACACGUGGGUGAUCUGCCCUGCACUUUGGGAUAAGCCUGGGAAACUGGGUCUAAUACCGAAUAGGACCACGCGCUUCAUGGUGUGUGGUGGAAAGCUUUUGCGGUGUGGGAUGGGCCCGCGGCCUAUCAGCUUGUUGGUGGGGUAAUGGCCUACCAAGGCGACGACGGGUAGCCGGCCUGAGAGGGUGACCGGCCACACUGGGACUGAGAUACGGCCCAGACUCCUACGGGAGGCAGCAGUGGGGAAUAUUGCACAAUGGGCGCAAGCCUGAUGCAGCGACGCUGCGUGAGGGAUGACGGCCUUCGGGUUGUAAACCUCUUUCAAUAGGGACGAAGCGCAAGUGACGGUACCUAUAGAAGAAGCACCGGCCAACUACGUG
rnacentral:rRNA from 1 species